GGCGCCUCCUCGCCCGGGCUCCGUACUUUUACGCUAGUGCCAUGUGAAACCAGACCACAUGCCCUUUUUUAUUCGUUGAACCAAUGAUGCUGAGUAAGUGAUGGGUCCAACGCUGGGCCGUUGGCCGAGGAGACUGGUGCAGAAACAGGCCCAGUGCAAAAUGGAGAUGCCCGAGUGUCAAGAUGGACUGCAGAGAUUAAGCCAAGCCUGGGGACCCCGAGCCCUUUUGCUGCUGGCCACCGAAGAGGCGUCAGCCAGGAGGGAGAAAGGCACAGUGUUUUGAGGAAUUGGAGAAUAAUGGGUAGAGGAGUCUGGCCGAGUGGAUCAUUUCUAGUGUGCAGAUAAAGUGGAAAAGAAAAAAAAAAAAAAAAGGACGCGUGUGAGAGUGUGAGGAGAAUGAAAAUUAUUUACCUGAUCCAUUUUUGGUGACAUGUAUGAAAUCAUCCUCAUCCUCAUCCUCAUCACAGCUAUCAAAGUUUACUUGCUGGAGGACUGUUUCUGACUGUAUCUCAGCUUGAUUGACGUCUUUUUGCUUAUUGGAGCUUCGAAGUGCGACAAGACGAUGAUGUAUUGCUGCGUACAGAUGCUUUGAAUAUAAUAAUGUGUGAUCAAAUUUUAGAAGCAUGGGGCACCAUGUUUUCUGGAUGUAUGAAGAAGGAUUAGACAACCUCUCAGCAUUUAUUUCUACAUUGAUGACUUUAAAGCAAGGCAUGAAUUCUAAAACAAUGAAAACUAAGCACAAGUAAUGAUUCAGGUGUCAAUCAUUGUAUCAAGAACAGGUGGGAAGAGUUGAGGGCUUUCUGAGUAUAAAUAAGCUUUGCGUGCAGCACCAGAGACUCCAAGCCUUUUCAUCAGUAGAGAGAGCUUCUAAGUGAAGAUAAGUAAUCCUACAGAUAAAAUAGAUAUCAACAACACAUGUAAGUCUCCAGUGCCCCCAGAAGUCCUCUGUGAUGAGAUCAUUUCCUCCAAUUCUGUUCCAAAGCAUGAGAUGAUGAGUGACUUGCUUAAAGGUAGGCAUUUGCAUCCUAGCACCUGAAAUACUUCCUGACACAUUGUAGAGUAGAAUCAGCAGUUUAAGCUCAGCUUCUGCCAAGACCAAGGCCAAAAAAAUAGAAGAUCUACCACUGCUUGAAGCCCCUCCUCUGUACCAACCCAAUUAUUACUCCAGUUCUCCUUCAAAGGAUGCAAUUUUAACUCAAUGAUAUAGCUUUAUUUUUCCUAUUUUUGAACUUCAUGUAAGUACAAUCAUGCAUUUUAAGAUAAUUAUUUUUAAAAAUAAAAUUGGUUAUACUGUCAAUAAAUUAGGAUAUUUGAACUAGAGAUGGCUUCAAAAUCUAGUCUUUCUGGAGUAUUCUUAGUCUAGGACAUUUCAUUCUCAAGUCAGAGGAAAGGAAAAAAAGAAAUGGCAGAACCACUCAGGGGCUAUUCAAACUAUGAUUGGGACCUGACAUAUGUAAUUUCUGCUUGUGAUUAAUAAAAGCAAAGUUAGUCCUUUCUUAUUUUUAUUCAUUUUUUUAUUUUUUGAGAGGCAGAGUGGACAGUGAGAGAGAGAGAGAGACAGAAAGAAAGGUCUUCCUUUUGCUGUUGGUUCACCCUCCAAUGGCCGCCGCGGCUGGCGCUCUGCGACCAGCGCACCGCGCUGAUCUGAUGGCAGGAGCCAGGUACUUCUCCUGGUCUCCCAUGGGGUUCAGGGCCCAAGUACUUGGGCCAUCCUCCACUGCACUCCUGGGCCACAGCAGAGAGCUGGCCUGGAAGAGGGGCAACCAGGACAGAAUCCGGCGCCCCUACCAGGACUAGAACCCGGUGUGCCGGCGCCACAAGGCAGAGGAUUAGCCUAGUGAGCCGCGGCGCCGGCUGACAUUAGUCCUUUCUAAAAAGGGCAAAUCAUUUUGAACAAUA